UACGUAGGGUGCAAGCGUUGUCCGGAAUUAUUGGGCGUAAAGAGCUCGUAGGCGGCUUGGCAAGUCGGGUGUGAAAACUUCAGGCUCAACCUGGAGCGGCCACUCGAUACUGCCAUGGCUUGAGUCCGGUAGGGGACCACGGAAUUCCUGGUGUAGCGGUGAAAUGCGCAGAUAUCAGGAGGAACACCGGUGGCGAAGGCGGUGGUCUGGGCCGGAACUGACGCUGAGGAGCGAAAGCGUGGGGAGCGAACAGG
rnacentral:rRNA from 1 species